rnacentral:rRNA from 1 species
UACGAAGGGGGCUAGCGUUGCUCGGAAUCACUGGGCGUAAAGGGUGCGUAGGCGGGUCUUUAAGUCCGGGGUGAAAUCCUGGAGCUCAACUCCAGAACUGCCUUUGAUACUGAAGAUCUUGAGUUCGGGAGAGGUGAGUGGAACUGCGAGUGUAGAGGUGAAAUUCGUAGAUAUUCGCAAGAACACCAGUGGCGAAGGCGACUCACUGGCCCGAUACUGACGCUGAGGCACGAAAGCGUGGGGAGCAAACAGG